AACGAACGCUGGCGGCGCGUAUUAAGCAUGCAAGUCGAACGGGAACCUCCCCGCAAGGGGAGGAGAGAGUGGCGAACGGGUGAGUAACACGUAGGUGAUCUAUCCCCGGGUGGGGUAUAGCCCAUGGAAACAUGGGGUAAUACCGCAUGAGGUCCUGGAGCUUGAAGGCUUCUGGAUGAAAGGCGCAAUUGUGUUGCCUGGGGAUGAGCCUGCGGCUCAUUAGCUAGUUGGCGGGGUAAGAGCCCACCAAGGCUACGAUGGAUAGCCGGCCUGAGAGGGUGUACGCCCACAUUGGGACUGAGAUACGGCCCAAACUCCUACGGGAGGCAG
rnacentral:rRNA from 1 species